GGCAAAUAAGGGAGCAGCCAGUUCUCACAAGGGAUCAGGGCAGGCUUCCUGGAGGCAGUGCCACCCAAGCUACAUCUUGAGCACUGAAAUGUUGGUGGUAGGACACCACCACAGAGCAGAGACCCAGGAUUUGCCCUCUGGGAACCAGCAGCUUGAGGAGAAACUCUUUUCCAUCAGGAAGAGAGGAGUCAGUGGCUUCUGUCUUUGCCCUGACCUUGACCUUGACCUUGGCCUACUCCUGCUUCCAUGUGGGAGGGACCAAGGAUCUUUCUUUCUACAAUAUUUCUUCUGGAUUUUGAUGGAGAGUCAACUUCACAUUUCAACAGAGCUUAGCUGUGAGCCAGAACCUUUCCAGGCUUAGGGAUCUGUGUGGCUGGAAAAUGAACCUUUCCUCAGAUGAAGGACGUUUGAUAAGAAAGCUGACGAGGAAAGAGCACCAUGUGAGCCCACGCAGGCGGGUGCCCUGGCUGUUGUACUAGCUGGCCUUUAGACUCCAGGCUCAGCCAGCCUCGGGGUUUGUCCUGCCUGCUCCUGCCUCCUGGGACCUUCUUUCUUCGGCUCUUCAGGUCUGCCUGCUUCUUGUUAUUGUGGCUUUGACUGCAGUGCCACCUCUUCAGGAGACAGUGUCUGCUACUGUUCUUGGACCCCACAGGAAGAGACUCACCUUGGAAGCCAAGAAAAAUGAUUCUACUACUCCAGCAGGAGGAAAGGAGAUUUCUCUUCUUGCCCAGCAACUCAGCCCAUGAGAAUCCAUCACCACCCGAACCCUCACCACUGAGCCAAUGGACUUUCGCUCAAAACAACCCCUCCCAACUUUUCCUAUUUUCUCCAUCUUCUCCUUUGCUUCUUAGACUCGCCUGUGGCUUUUGCUAUAGUUUGCUUGUCCCAAAUUGCAAUUCUUUGUUAUU